CGACUUUCCGGCCCCGAUCCGCCGCCUUCCGGCCACUUUCCGGCCAAAACUCUUGUACUUCCGGACUCCCCGCAACUUGAGCUUCGCGUAGGCGCUUCCGGAUUUGAAUUCCGACACUGUUGGCAGGACCGGCUUCCGAACCCCAGUGUUUUCUGGACGCGCGGAAUAUUUUAAUUUUUAACUCGGUAUAAUUUUAUUAGACUCUGAAAAAUUUUGUUAUAAUAUUAGAAAGUUAUUGUGGUUAUUAAUUGCUUGUGUUGGGUAGUUUAAAAAUAAAUCAAAUUAAAUUGUUUGGGUUGUGGUGUUUUGGAGUCG
rnacentral:lncRNA from 1 species